rnacentral:rRNA from 1 species
GAUGAACGCUGGCGGCGUGCCUAAUACAUGCAAGUCGAGCGAACAGACGAGGAGCUUGCUCCUCUGACGUUAGCGGCGGACGGGUGAGUAACACGUGGAUAACCUACCUAUAAGACUGGGAUAACUUCGGGAAACCGGAGCUAAUACCGGAUAACAUGUUGAACCGCAUGGUUCAACAGUGAAAGACGGUCUUGCUGUCACUUAUAGAUGGAUCCGCGCCGCAUUAGCUAGUUGGUAAGGUAACGGCUUACCAAGGCAACAAUGCGUAGCCGACCUGAGAGGGUGAUCGGCCACACUGGAACUGAGACACGGUCCAGACUCCUACGGGAGGCAGCAGUAGGGAAUCUUCCGCAAUGGGCGAAAGCCUGACGGAGCAACGCCGCGUGAGUGAAGAAGGUCUUCGGAUCGUAAAACUCUGUUAUUAGGGAAGAACAAAUGUGUAAGUAACUAUGCACGUCUUGACGGUACCUAAUCAGAAAGCCACGGCUAACUACGUG